GUGCUCACUUUGGCAGCACAUAUACUAAAAUUGGAAUGAUACGGAGAUUAGCAUGGCCCCUGAACAAUGACGACAUGUAAAUUCAUAAAGCGUUCCAUAUUUUU
rnacentral:snRNA from 1 species